rnacentral:rRNA from 1 species
UACGGGGGGGGGCAAGCGUUGUUCGGACUUACUGGGCGUAAAGGGCUCGUAGGCGGCCAACUAAGUCAGACGUGAAAUCCCUCGGCUUAACCGGGGAACUGCGUCUGAUACUGGAUGGCUUGAGUUUGGGAGAGGGAUGCGGAAUUCCAGGUGUAGCGGUGAAAUGCGUAGAUAUCAGGAGGAACACCGGUGGCGAAGGCGGGACUCUGGGCCGAUACUGACGCUGAGGAGCGAAAGCGUGGGGAGCAAACAGG